UAUUGUUUAAAGGCCAGGUCCUUGCUGUGGUUGGGGGAAGUGAUACUGCUACCGAGGAAGCUUUGUACUUGACUAAAUAUGCUCGUCAUGUUCACUUGGUUAUUCUUCAUUUUUCACUCUUUCUAAUCUCUAUAUUGCAGAUUGCUUUCAUGAGAAACAAGGAUUUCAGGAAAGAGCUACUAGUUCUUGAGGACUUGGUGCUAGAACACAUAGUAUGAUAAGUUUUAGCUAUAAGAUAGUUGAUACUUUUAAUUUUUUUCAAUUUUGAAUCGAAUAUGAAAUGAUGAUGUAUACUUGAUACUUGGUUCAUUUUGAUGAUAAUGUAUGAAUAUUUUGGAUAAUAUAUAAUAUUGUUAUUUUUAAUUUU
rnacentral:lncRNA from 1 species